rnacentral:rRNA from 1 species
AUUGAACGCUGGCGGCAGGCCUAACACAUGCAAGUCGAGCGAGCGGCGGACGCGUGUGUGAUGUCUGGGAGACAGCCUGAUGGAGGGGGGUAAAUACUGGGGAAGGUAGCUACAAUCCCGUACCAUCACAUGUGCGCCGAUGGGAUUAGCUAGUAGGUGGGGUAACGGCGCACCUAGGCGACGAUCCCUAGCUGGUCUGAGAGGAUGACCAGCCACACUGGAACUGAGACACGGUCCAGACUCCUACGGGAGGCAGCAGUGGGGAAUAUUGCACAAUGGGCGCAAGCCUGAUGCAGCCAUGCCGCGUGUGUGAAGAAGGCCUUCGGGUUGUAAAGCACUUUCAGCGGGGAGGCGUUACCCGCAGAAGAAGCACCGGCUAACUCCGUGCCAGCAGCCGCGGUAAUUC